rnacentral:lncRNA from 1 species
AGUGAAAAAAAAAUCUUUGGAGCACUACUUCAAAAUAGUUAUAAACUAAAACGAACGAAAAAUUAAUUCAAAAAAUUAAUAAUAGUAUCAGUUUAUCUCUCCCAUGCAUAUGCAUGCAUCUUGGCUCUCAUCCGAACAAUCAUCAUCUUUUGGCAUCUCAUUCUCUCCAACAGAUUCACAAUCGUCAUCUUCAUCAACAAUGGAUGUGGUGACAUCAACAAUGGAUGUGGUGACGCGAAGGUUCACUUCAAAUGGCCAAAUUCCUGCAUAACGGUCAGAUUUAGACAUUUUCAUGAUCUCCCUCGCAAAUUCACAUAUGGAAGGCAUAAUUUUAUCUAAUAGCUCUGAUGAUAAGAACAUUGAAGAGAAGGUUUCUUGCAAGUAUUUGAAUUUUUCUUUAUCAUCAUCAGUGGUGGGUUGCAAAUGACUAGGAACUUUAUACCAAGGAACAAAAAAAGUUUGGUUGACAGUAGUGACAGUAAAAGAAGAGAAUUCAUCAUCAAUAUGUGGCUUAGAGGUUGGUUUCGUGACAAUUUUUUUUUGUUGGAUCAUUUGAUUGGUACAAGAAAAAUUAAUACGGAAGCUAUUAUGGAAUGAUUUUUCUUCAGUUAUAAGCCAUAAAGAUGGUUUUUCAGAACAUGUGAAUUCUAUUGAAUAGGAAGUUGAUCUCUUAGCCAUGAAAACUUACUAUUAACUAAUAAACUAAAUUGAGGUGAAGAAAAAUUGCAGCUUUAGGAUCUUUUAUUUUUACUCUAAUGUUAUGGACUUAUGGUAAUAUAUAAUGAUUUUAUACAGCAUAAUCAUAAGCAUUUAUCUUAUCUUAUUAUCUUAUCUUAUUAAAUUAUUUUAGAUUUAAAAUCUUAUUUACUAAGUCAAAUAUGGUAAGAUUUAGAAUUUAGGAUUUGAAAAGACAAAUUAAAAAAAAAAAGAUUAGAUACAUCAUCUUAAAUUUGCAUUAUUAUAGAUAUUAUUUAAGUUAAUAAUUUUCACUUGUAAUGCAUUAAAAGUAGGAGAUAAAGAUUUGCCUAUAAACCUGAGAUGUCAAAUAUUAAAAUAAAAAUGUUCCAAACAACAAUCAAUAACAAAUUAAAAAUCAUAAAUCAGAACACCAAAAUUAGAAUAACAGCCAUAAAUCAUAAUCGGAACACAAAAAUUAGAAAUUUAGAAUCAACAAGACAAAACCAAAAUAAAAAAAGUCAAGGUCAGAACAAAAAGAAAUCAAAAUCAACAAAUAAUUAGAAGAAUUACCUGAGACUCGAGACUAAGGGAGGACGAAAAAUCCGAACACCAGACACGACAGUGAGACACGAAGUUGGAAAUGGAGGGACGAUGGAGACGAACGGAGCACGAGGGCGACGACAAAACCGAGGAGCAGGGGAAGUGUGUGGCUGCGAACUAUGAUGCUGAACGGCGUUGCGACUGUGAAGUUGUCCGUCACCGGCGAAGAGUGGAGAGUUUUGAGGUUACGGGCGUGAGCGUGGGUGAGUGCAGUCCUCUGGAGAGUGGAGAGUGUGUGUGGUGUGAUCUG